AGUCGAGCGAAUCGAUGGGAGCUUGCUCCCUGAGAUUAGCGGCGGACGGGUGAGUAACACGUGGGCAACCUGCCUAUAAGACUGGGAUAACUUCGGGAAACCGGAGCUAAUACCGGAUACGUUCUUUUCUCGCAUGAGAGAAGAUGGAAAGACGGUUUACGCUGUCACUUAUAGAUGGGCCCGCGGCGCAUUAGCUAGUUGGUGAGGUAAUGGCUCACCAAGGCGACGAUGCGUAGCCGACCUGAGAGGGUGAUCGGCCACACUGGGACUGAGACACGGCCCAGACUCCUACGGGAGGCAGCAGUAGGGAAUCUUCCGCAAUGGACGAAAGUCUGACGGAGCAACGCCGCGUGAACGAAGAAGGCCUUCGGGUCGUAAAGUUCUGUUGUUAGGGAAGAACAAGUACCAGAGUAACUGCUGGUACCUUGACGGUACCUAACCAGAAAGCCACGGCUAACUACGUGCCAGCAGCCGCGGUAAUACGUAGGUGGCAAGCGUUGUCCGGAAUUAUUGGGCGUAAAGCGCGCGCAGGUGGUUCCUUAAGUCUGAUGUGAAAGCCCACGGCUCAACCGUGGAGGGUCAUUGGAAACUGGGGAACUUGAGUGCAGAAGAGGAAAGUGGAAUUCCAAGUGUAGCGGUGAAAUGCGUAGAGAUUUGGAGGAACACCAGUGGCGAAGGCGACUUUCUGGUCUGUAACUGACACUGAGGC
rnacentral:rRNA from 2 species